rnacentral:rRNA from 1 species
AUGGCGAAGAGGUCACACCCGUUCCCAUCCCGAACACGGAAGUUAAGCUCUUCAGCGCCGAUGGUAGUCGGGGGCUUCCCCCUGCAAGAGUAGGACGUCGCUGGGC